GACGAACGCUGGCGGCGUGCUUAACACGUGCAAGUCGAACGGAAAGGCCCUGCUUUUGUGGGGUGCUCGAGUGGCGAACGGGUGAGUAACACGUGAGUAACCUGCCCUUGACUUUGGGAUAACUUCAGGAAACUGGGGCUAAUACCGGAUAGGAGCUCCUGCUGCAUGGUGGGGGUUGGAAAGUUUCGGCGGUUGGGGAUGGACUCGCGGCUUAUCAGCUUGUUGGUGGGGUAGUGGCUUACCAAGGCUUUGACGGGUAGCCGGCCUGAGAGGGUGACCGGCCACAUUGGGACUGAGAUACGGCCCAGACUCCUACGGGAGGCAGCAGUGGGGAAUAUUGCACAAUGGGCGGAAGCCUGAUGCAGCAACGCCGCGUGCGGGAUGACGGCCUUCGGGCUGUAAACCGCUUUCGCCUGUGACGAAGCGUGAGUGACGGUAAUGGGUAAAGAAGCACCGGCUAACUACGUG
rnacentral:rRNA from 1 species